rnacentral:piRNA from 1 species
UAUUGAGUCUUUGGUAUUUUU